AGCCUGAUAGUUCACUGGUAGAAUUCUUGCUUUGGGAAAAAUGUAAGAGGUCUCCGGUUCCAUCCCGGAUUAAGCCC
rnacentral:tRNA from 1 species